GAUGAACGCUAGCUACAGGCUUAACACAUGCAAGUCGCGGGGCAGCAUGGGGGUUGCUUGCAAUCCCCGAUGGCGACCGGCGCACGGGUGAGUAACGCGUAUCCAACCUGCCCUUCACCACGGGAUAACCCGGCGAAAGUCGGACUAAUACCGUAUGUUGUCCAUUGACGGCAUCCGAUUUGGACGAAAGGCUUGGCGGUGAGGGAUGGGGAUGCGUCCGAUUAGCCAGACGGCGGGGUAACGGCCCACCGUGGCUACGAUCGGUAGGGGUUCUGAGAGGAAGGUCCCCCACACUGGAACUGAGACACGGUCCAGACUCCUACGGGAGGCAGCAGUGAGGAAUAGUGGUCAAUGGGCGUAAGCCUGAACCAGCCAAGUAGCGUGCAGGAUGACGGCCCUAUGGGUGGUAAACUGCUUUUAUGCGGGGAUAAAGUGGCCCACGUGUGGGCUUUUGCAGGUACCGCAUGAAUAAGGACCGGCUAAUUCCGUG
rnacentral:rRNA from 1 species